rnacentral:rRNA from 1 species
GUAGACGCGAAACCAAGUGAUCUACCCUUGGGCAGGUUGAAGGAUGGGUAACACCAUCUGGAGGACCGAACCAAUAAGCGUUGAAAAGCUUCUGGAUGACCUGAGGGUGGGGGUGAAAGGCUAAUCAAACUUGGAGAUAGCUCGUACUCCCCGAAAUGCAUUUAGGUGCAGCCUUGACUUAUACUGGCAUGAGGUAGAGCGACUGAUAAGAUGCGAGGGCUUCACCGCCUAUCAAGUCUUGACAAACUCCGAAUGCGUGUCAGUUCUAUGUCAGGAGUGAGGGCAUGGGUGCUAAGGUCCAUGUCCUAAAGGAGAACAAUCCGGACCAACAGCUAAGGUCCCGAAAUGAAUACUAAGUUGAACUAACGAAGUCAGAUUGCUAAGACAGCUAGGAUGUUGGCUUGGAAGCAGCCAUUCAUUUAAAGAGUGCGUAACAGCUCACUAGUCGAGGAGUUUGGCGUGGAUAAUAAUCGGGCAUUAAGUAUUCUACCGAAGCUUUGGGAUGUGUAAACAUCGGUAGGGGAGCAUUCCACUCAGCGUUGAAGGUGAGGCGUGAGCCUUGCUGGAGCGUGUGGAAAAGCAAAUGUAGGUAUAAGUAACGAUAAAGGGGGUGAGAAACCCCCUCGCCGAAAGACUAAGGUUUCCUGAUCAACGCUAAUCGGAUCAGGGUUAGUCGGGUCCUAAGGCUCAGCCGAACGGCGAGGCCGAUGGCAGAACCGGUUAAUAUUCCGGUACUACCUCAAGGAGUGACGUGGAGACGGAGCAGUGACAGUGCCGCGGACUGACGGAAUAGUCCGUUAAAGGGUGUAGAUGUUGAUUCCUGCAGGCAAAUCCGCAGGAAGAGUCGAACCUGACAGUAUGGAGCGUCCUUCGGGACAAUCCAAUAGUGCACGUAAGCAUACUCCCGAGAAAAUCCGCUAAACUUAAUCCUUGUGGUACCCGUACCGCAAACGGACACACGUAGUCGGGUUGAAUAUACUAAGGCGCUUGAGUGAUUCACGGUUAAGGAACUAGGCAAACUGACCCUGUAACUUCGGGAUAAAGGGUCCUCAGGGUGACUUGAGGCGCAGAGAAUCGGUCCAGGCAACUGUUUAACAAAAACACAGGGCUGUGCGAAAUAGAAAUAUGAAGUAUACAGCCUGACACCUGCCCGGUGCUGGAAGGUUAAGAGGAGAUGUCAUCGCAAGAGAAGCAUUGAAUUGAAGCCCCAGUAAACGGCGGCCGUAACUAUAACGGUCCUAAGGUAGCGAAAUUCCUUGUCGGGUAAGUUCCGACCUGCACGAAUGGUGUAAUGAUCUGGACGCUGUCUCAACCGUGAGCUCAGUGAAAUUGUAGUAUCGGUGAAGAUGCCGAUUACCCGCGAUGGGACGAAAAGACCCCGUGAACCUUUACUAUAGCUUAACAUUGAAUUUGGGUAAUUGAUGUGUAGGAUAGGCCGGAGGCUUCGAAGCAGGUACGCCAGUAUUUGUGGAGCCGCUGUUGAAAUACGGCCCUUUGAUUAUUUGAGUUCUAACCCGUGGAUACGGGGACACUGUUUGGUGGGUAGUUUGACUGGGGUGGUCGCCUCCAAAAGCGUAACGGAGGCUUCUAAAGGUGCCCUCACGACGAUUGGUAACCGUCGGCAGAGUGUAAUGGCAUAAGGGCGCUUGACUGGGAGACUAACAAGUCGAUCAGGUAGGAAACUAGAGCAUAGUGAUCCGGUGUUUCUGUAUGGAAAGGACAUCGCUCAAAGGAUAAAAGGUACUCCGGGGAUAACAGGCUGAUCCCUCCCAAGAGCUCAUAUCGACGGAGGGGUUUGGCACCUCGAUGUCGGCUCGUCACAUCCUGGGGCUGGAGAAGGUCCCAAGGGUUGGGCUGUUCGCCCAUUAAAGUGGCACGCGAGCUGGGUUCAGAACGUCGUGAGACAGUUCGGUCUCUAUCUAUCGUGGGCGUAUGAAAUUUGCGUGGCUCUGACACUAGUACGAGAGGACCGUGUUGGACUGACCUCUGGUUUACCGGUUGUGCCGCCAGGUGCAUUGCCGGGUAUCUAAGUC